rnacentral:lncRNA from 1 species
UGCAUAUUCAGGCCGGCCGCUAUAUCAAAAUAUUGUAGAACACCCCCUUCAGGCACUCAGCUGUAUUUGCUCCACAGACUUAGAUUUGUUUUGCGGCCAUUUUCUCCUCCCAAGGAACUGUGGGAACUGUAGUUUGAUGAGAGGAAGGUAUGGCUAUUUAACAGAGAAAUCUAUAGGGCACACUCACUCAAAGCACAAAUGUCCUCUACAAAAUGGCAGUUCAAACCGAGGCCUAGUAAUGUAUAACCAUCCUUUCUUUCAACUUGCUUGAACUUUACAGAUGAUUUAUUCUUAUUCUUAUUUAGAAAAAUAAUAUUUUUGCCUUUACUCCCAGACAAUAUCCCAUUUAAUCCUCAGAACAACUCUGUGAGAAAUAGUCACUACUUCACUGCCUAGCCUGUUUCAAGGUCACCCAGUGAGUUUCACGGACAAGCAUGGAUUUGAACCCAAGUCCCACUGUAACAUUCUAACCACUGCAAUACAUUGGUAAACCUUGAUAACCGUUUUUGAUCAAUUUAACUGCCACGACCUUUUCCCAAAGGCUCUUGGAAAAUGUAGCUUUGAGUGAGUGUGCCCUGUGGAUAAAGUUUAUUUUUAUUCCACAUUAGCCUCAGGCCUGGUAUAAAGUUGCAUCAUCGUUUGGGGUGUGUCACUGACAUGAAAUGUGCACGUAUGAGAUUGUGUCCACAUUUUCCCCGUGCAAAUUCUGCUUUAGGGCAUUUCUAUCAUUUCAGCUAGUGUGGCAUAAUAAGCGGCAUUAUCACUAUAAAUUUGUUUGCAUUUCAUUUUAGUCUCAUUUUUAAUAAUAGGUACAGAGAAUGCUGCCUUUUGCUAAGCAAGAUCAUUGGUCUAUCUAAACCAGCAUUGUCUGCACGGACUGGCAGCAGUUCUGCAGGGUUUCAGGUAGGCAACAUUCUCAGCACUACCUGGAAAUUCUCCCAGAGAAUUGAACCUGGUACCUUAGGAAAUUUUACUGGCUGUUGCAUUUUUAUGGUUUGUAUGUUUUAUUACAUUAAGCAGUAUUUUUAAAAAACAAAUUCUAUUAUUUUAGUCCUAAAGGGUGCUGUCCAAAGUGCUGGAUAUAAGCCAAAGAGUUCUAGAUUCAAAUCCUUCUGCAGCCGAGAGCCAUGGCCAAGAGCCAUAGCCACCUUCCUGGCUGGAGAGUCACGCGGCUUGCAGAGCCUCUAUGCCGCAGUCACUCCCAGCUUAUGAGAACGUGCUUGAUUAUUAUUUGUUAAAUUAUCCUGCUCUCUCAGCUGGAGUAAGUAAGGCUUGCAGAAUGUCUCUGCAACAACAGUCCUGCUCUCUGCCUGUAGGAUUACAACCUAAAAAGACACAGCACAAAAAGAAAAUGGAUUGUGAGAGGAGGAAAUUUUAAAAUUCAGACUCAUGUGCAUUGUUACAAGUUCUAAUGUGAAAACCCUCUACAUCUGCUCCUCAAAUAGCUACCUCUUGGUUGCCAGUUCAUUUCCAGGCCUAAUUCACGAUGCUCAUAUUAGUGUUUGAAGGCUUGAAAUACCCAAAUAUCUGAAAGAGAUGUAUAUUUUUAGAUUCUAUUUUUAGAUGUAUAUAUAUUUUUUAUAUUCUAUUAUUGUAGGUUGCUUUAAACUGAUUUUAAUACUGUGUUUUAAUUGUAAACUGGGACCUUAGGGCGAAGAAUGGGUAAUUAAUAAUAAUAAUGGUGAUAAUUAUGAUGUUACACGCCGCCUCAAUCUCUGAGCAGUGAGACUCCAGAAAUUCUAGGAGCUUAUACCGGGUUCGAUUUCCUUGGAAUGAAGGUCAGCAGAGAUUGCGGAGUCUUUAGGAUAUAUGGCUUUACUUACACAUAUAGACAACCUGAGCAUAAGAUGGAGGGUGUCACAGCAAUAAUAUCCCAACUGAUCUUGCUUCUUCAUUAGUCACAGCUUGGGAUCUAGCACAGAGUGAGCACAUCUCUGUGUCCCAGCUUGCUUACAAAACUCAGCUCAUACACAUUCUCCUGUUGUUUUCCUACCUAGCAGCUAGGAGGGGUGGUGGUGGAAAAAAGGCCCACACAUAAGCCUAGAGGGCCCUGCUGCAUAUUUGUAGCUCUUGCAAUUUAGCUCUUUUGGGAUGCCAAUGAGGACACUUCAGUGGGUAGCUAAGGCCAUUGUCCUACAGAGAAGCUUGUCUGACUAAUUCAGCAACUUCCUUUGUCAGGUUCUAACCUUCACUGGGUGCAGGACCCCAAGAACGGGAAGGGUCUCAGGGCCUCAUCCAGACACACCCCAAAAACCCACAAGAACAACACCACCACCACCAAGUCAAUGAAAACCAAUAAAUGACCGCAUUAAGAACCAUGAGCAGUGCAAAGUGGAAAUGUUUUAGCACCUCAAAAACCAUUUCAAAAUGCAGAAUAAUAUUUGCCCUUUUUGAAAAUGCUUUCAGGGGCUCGCAGGCAUACAGGGCUCUGAGCAUGGGGCAACUGGAGUGUAAAGGAAAGUGUUAGGGGGCGGAGAGGUGAUUAGGAAUGACUGGCUGCAUGAGAGUUGUAAUUACUGCAUAAAGCACUCCAUGCUAGCAAUUACCCCUUCCCUCCCCUGCUCCCAGUCUCUGUCCCAGAUUAAUGAUACUUCUGCCACUGUUUUCCAUGUCAGAGAAGCGCCCAUCCAAUUUGGGAAAGCAAUUAGUGCGAAAUGAGACGGCAGCGGCUGACUAUAAUGGGCCAUCUUAAGUGUCACUUGUCUGUGAAACUGCGCAGGGACUCGAGUGAUGUAUCCUGCCGAACGGGGCAUUGUAAAUAUGCCAUCAUAAUGAAGCUACACACACACACAAGCAACACUACUUGUCUCAGUCACUCCAACAAGCAAAUUGAGCAGAACUACAAACUGCCACCACCUCCCACUAGACACUGACUCGGUGCCUGUAUGCUGUCUCAGUAAGGCAGGCUUUGCCAAACUAGGCCCUCUGGAUGUUUUGGACUAUGAUUCCCAUCAGCCACAGCCAGUGCAUGCUAGCUGGCACUGAUGGGAAUCGUAGUCUGAAAGAUCUGGAGGGCCCCAAGGUGGCAAAGCCUACAGUGAGGGCUGUGGCCUACAGUUUAUUAAUAAUAAUAAUAAUAAUAAUAAUUUUAUUAUUUAUACCCUGCCCAUCUGGCUGGGCUUCCCCAGGCACUCUGGGCAGCUUCCCAAAAAAUUAAAAUACUGUAAUACAUCAAACAUUAAAAACUUCCCUAAACAGGGCUGCCUUCAGGUGUCUUCUAAAAGUCUGGUAGUUGUUGUUCUCUUUGACAUCUGAUGGGAGGGCAUUCCACAGGGAGGGCGCCACUACCGAGAAGGUCCUCUGCCUGGUUCCCUGUAACUUGGCUUCUCGCAGUGAGGGAACCGCCAGAAGGCCCUCUGAUUCCCUGGAAUCUUUUUAUUCCCUGGAAUCUUUCACCAUUCGGGGAUUGGGGUGGCGAGCAACAGCAACAUUCAGUGCUCCCCCACACCCCUGCUUUCAGAUGCCACAAGACUUUCUGGGUUGUAUCGGAGCAAGUUUUACUCAGAGUAAAAAAUGAAAAUGAAAAAUGCAAUGGGGCUACUCUGAGUACAGCCAGUAUUGGACACACCCCUUGCUUGUUUUUGCUGCAGCAGAUUUAACACAUAAAUACAGGAAAACUCUCUGUAGCUAGAUCCAGAUUUCUUGCUGGCAAUGAGUCUUUUGGCUGCCAGAAUUUUAAGAUAAAAUCUUACCUGAAAGGCAGGUACAAAUCUCUUCUUAAAAACGUUUCCAAAUGCAAUUUGUAUUUGAAUUAUAAAGAUUACCUUUGCUUACAUGUAUACAAGCUGUGUUUUCAUUCUAUCCUUAAUUAUGUGUCCAUUUGAUAUCAAUGGAGUAGGCUGUCACUUUGUAACAAGCAGCACUUCCUGGUGGUAUAUUUUGAUAGUAGCAACUAUUGGUGCCAGUAAGAAAGGCUAGUUUCAGGCUUUUUGGUAUGCAAAAUAUGAUUGUUUGUUUUUAAGCAAAUUAUGUUUUCUAAAAGCUGACAAAUGCUGCUCUAGAUUUCCCAGAUUCUAGAUAACCAAGGCACACCUAUUCUACAUUAAAACAGGGGUACACUUUUUUCUUACAUCUCCACCCCACCCCCAGUUUACUACUUUUAGAGUGUAGAAGAUUAAGAAUUACCUGCCCUCAGAGGACCUUGCUUCAACCUCCCUUUGGUUUCUACACAGGCUGCUGAUCUGGACUUCCCUUUUGUCCAGAAGGAUGCAAGGCCAUGGGCAGCGACUCAUGCCGAAGUGCAACAGGCACCCUCCUCUGGAAUCAGGCAAUUCUUCAGCCUCUCUGCUUUGGCAAUGAGUGACUGCUGCAAUCCAUGCAAGGGCAGGGCAAUGUUACCUACCUGCAGUGCUGACUGAUUGGAAGAAGGCAAAGGCAAAGCAGUGACUCAUACAGAGAAGCAGCAGGCAGUCUCCUUCAAGGGUGAACAAUUCUGCAGCAUCUUUGGAAUGGAGGAAAUUGACUGAUCAACCAACCUGUGCUCAGUGCAGCGAGUCAGCUGGCUGACUCCCUAGCAGCAGUGCUGAGAAAGGCCCAGCUGGUCUCUUUUGUGAAUGGGGGCUAUAGAAACAUCUCACUUUUUGAUUUGUUUAUUCCUUCCGGCAACUAUGGUUUGAGGAGAGAUGUGAAGGAGGGGCAGAAAGUAGUGUGGCAGGUAGCCUGGAAAGAACAUCGCGGGAGAAGCCUAUAUCUGAUGAUAGCUAAUCUCUUUCCCUCCUUCCCUCUCAUUCCCCCAAGCCAUCGAAGUGGUUGUAGAAAAUGGCUUUGUUAUACCCACUGCCUGAAUGAAUCACCCCAAAUUUAGACUUGGUGUUGUUCACAGUUUAAAAGCCAAAUAGGAUUAUCCUGUGCCGUCCUCUUUGAAGGCUGACUCACUUCAUUCUUCAUUCAUAACCUGGGGGAUGUGUGUCUAUAUAGCCCUUUCUAAGAAGCAUUGAGUGGGGAGUGGGGUGAGGAGAGGAAAUCAGUGAGUUGCAAUUAUGUACAAGUGGGAACCGCAACCGAGUGUUGCAGCGCACUUCCUCACUGCGUAACAUGAGUGUUCCUGAGCAGCCAUGCCCGCCUCCAGAAAAUCCAAUUUCCUUCCUCUUACCACCUAGUUUUCUCAAUCAGUGAAUCACAUUUUUUUAUGAGGUGGCCACAUAAAAACAAGAUAAAACACCAAAGUGAUAUGUGCGAUUUUUAAUAUAAAACAAGCUAAGCUAUAUCCUGCAUGUUAUAGUGGUUAGAGGGUUUGACUGGGACCUGGGAGACCAGGGUUUGAAUCCCUACUUGGUUAUGAAGUUCAGUGGGUGACCUUGGGUCAGUUAGAGUGUCUCAACCUAACUUACCUCUCAGGGUUGUUGUGGAGAGGUAGGGGACCCAUAUAUGUCACCUUGAGCUCCUUGGAG